GAUGAAGAACGUAGCGAAAUGCGAUACGUAGUGUGAAUUGCAGAAUUCAGUGAAUCAUCGAAUCUUUGAACGCACAUUGCACCUCUCGGUAUUCCGGGAGGUAUGCCUGUUCGAGCGUCAUUUGUACCCUCAAGCUCUGCUUGGUGUUGGGUGUUUGUUCCGCCUCUGUUUGUGAACUCGCCUCAAAACAAUUGGCAGCCGGCGUACUUGUUUCGGAGCGCAGCACAUUUUGCGAUCCAGAUCAACGUACAGCGGCAUCCAAGAAGCCUUAUUUAACGCUCUUGACCUCGGAUCAGGUAGGGAUACCCGCUGAACUUAAGCAUAUCAAUAAGCGGAGGA
rnacentral:misc_RNA from 1 species